CGGCAGAGCGGCCCCGCCGGCGGACACUGCUCUCCCGCCGGACCGGGCCGGGCCGGCCCCGCCACGGCGCAGGAUUUCAGUCAUCUCAGACAUGCAGGCUGACGGCUCCAGGAAAAGCCCGUCCUGUCCCCGUCCCGCCCCACCGCACUGCUUGGCCGGCCGGAGGAGUUAGUCCGCAGGGGAAAAAGAAAAGGCGCACACAGCACCGGGACCUGCCAGUCAGCACCUCACCCCCAGCAAGGCCCUCAGGUUUUGUUCAUCUUACCCACUCUGACAGAUCCUAGAACAAAUCCCGACAACGAAGGAGAUCAGGGACACAGGAGCAGAGCUAUUAAUUCAGGUCCCCAGAAGUAUUUCACCAAACAGCCUGCCACCCUCAUCUGUCCUGGAAAACAGCUGUGGGCUUGUGCACUUCUCAGUUUUAUUUUGAGAUAUCAGAAAGGUUUUGAAGAGUUUUUUCCAAUUCAGAAGUAGACAUUUUUUCAUUUUUAGUAUAUGAGUAAAUAUUAACUACCCAGAAAGAGUCUAUGAGUUACUCUACUCGCCAAAGUUAUGUCAUUAUUAAAAUCGAAAAGACAACAGCAAAGGGACUGAGAUACAAGGACAAACCCAGAUAGGGCACGAUAACAGUGCCGCAUGUUAUUUUUGUUUGUUAGCAGUGGCUACUGUGACUAAUAAGUGUUACUUGUGACAGGUUAUUUUUGCGAAACAAACCUCAAAUUAGAGUGCAAGAACAUACACUAUGCAACUGAAUAUGGUCUUCACAAACCCCAGGAAUUUUGACAUCCUUGAAAUAUCUAAAUUAAUUUAAAAUUUAGUCUUCAUUUUUUAUUUUAGGAAGGAAGCUCAGAACCUAUGAGAAAUGUCUUGAAGCCCUACUCUUUCCUUAAGCCUUGUAAUAACCAACUUAGCCCUGAAGACCUGGCUUGUUAUUUGCUCUCAUAAGCACUUGAACUGUUAGCCUGUGUGUAGUACAUGAGUCCAGAUACAAGUUUCCUGGAGCAGCAGCCUUCUCGUUCAUGUUUGCAAAGUGGUAGGCAUACUCACAGUGCUAUAAGUGCACUAUAAGUAAAAAAACCUGAGAGGGUAUGCUGAUGCUCCCACAUGCAAUACAGUCACACACCUGAUCCCAUAUGCUGGCAGGAUGGACUGAUGUUCACAUGCUUUCUGUGGAGAAAAUAGGAUGUCCGUAGAUAUCACAGUUUUCAAAUACAUGUAAUACAGCCUUCAAUGCAUAAUAAGCUUCUGUGUUUUGAUGACAUUUUGUAUUAAGCUUAUGUAUUCAAAUAUUAAUAAUUGAUUGUGACAAUAUUUGGAGAUAUUGUAUGUAAUUACCUGGCUAAUGCAUAUGUGAAGCACUGCUUUCUUGUUUGGAAUGAGUUGAGAGCCAUGGAGGAAAUAAAUCAAGGCUCAGAGUAGAAGUGGCAUGGACAUGGAGAGCUGGAGUUCUAUCCCCAUUAGUAUGCUGAAUUUCUGACUGGUAACUACAUUUCAGCUUUGGACCCUGAGGACAUCCCUGGCAGCAUGAGCUUUCUUCAGCAGAGUUGAGACGCUCUUCUGCAAGCAGGUCUUUUAGUGUUUCGUAUGCCUCAUUUGCAAGUUCACCUGUAUCCACCACUUGCCAUAGAAGCAGCAAUGCAUGAGCAGGUUCUCUAACAGCCCCAAUACCAUAUCACAUUUAUCACCAGGAAAAGGGAUUGAAGCCCCUUUCCUGCAUUCCAGCUUAAUGCACAAAGAGAAUGUGUCUUUUUUUCUGUUGAAAGAUUAAUGAUGUGUAUUGUACGUAUCUAUUAUUCAAAUGUUCAAAAAUUCAAGAAUUUCUCAGACUUUGGAGAAAUGGUGCAUGUGCACUGAUGUUCUUUUUUCUAAAUCAUUGGGCAUCUUGACUGAAGGUAAAUCCAGGUUUUACAGGGUUUCUUCUAAAUGUGUAAAAGUACUGAUGUGACACUGUCACAGCAAUUGCAUGACAGAAGGAGUCCAACAAUAAGCACAGAGAGACCAGGCAGUCAGGAGGAAGGGUCUGUCCUUCCCCUGCUGCCUAGCGGUGCCUGACCAAUGCCCUUCACACAGGCACCGAUUGCAUUUUUAUUUUUUUUUUAAGAUGUGUGUUUUCCACCACACAGAACUGGAACUGCUGGGCUAUCUUCUCUUCCUAGAUUAUCUGAUUAAUAUGUCCAGUGGCAGCUUUUAGAAGGCUACAGUAAAACACAGAGUAACAUGGGCUUUGAUCCCUGCAAGAGGAUGUUUGGCUCUCUACAAGAAGCUGAAUGAGCCUAGACAACAUUUACUUCCAUGCUUUUGAUCUGAAGGAUGCUGCUUGUUAGUGAAGGCAGCUGAUUCUAAUCACAGUGGAGGGCUCUCAUUUGCUGUUCUUGCACACUCACACUCUUCCUCCAAAAAGAAGAGGAUGGAAAUACUGGGAAUACUGGGAGUGUAGAACCACAAAGGGCUUACUGGGCUGCAGUAUCUAUGAGAGUAAUUUUCCAGUACAGGUGAUGGAAUGUCUUUUCAUCUUGUUCCCUGGAGAAUGAGGGAGAAGUGGAAAGAGGGAAGCAAUUCUGUGGGUUUCAUUGAAAAAUUUACAGGUGGUUGCAAAUAGUGCUUACCCAUUACUUAGCAGCAAAAUUACAAUGGUCAGGAGAUGCAGAACUUGAGAGCAGGUGGUUGACAGGACAAAAUUGGCUGGGGAACAAGAAAAUAGAAAUCCUGUUUGACCUCUGCCAAAUCUUUUUGCUAAUGUCUGUAUUUACAUUGGCUGCUGUAUUGUUGCCAGUUCUUCAGUGAGUUGUCAUCGAGGAGCUGUGUGAUAUCACUCUGUAUCAAUAUACUGUAUUUUUAGUACAUUUGGAUAUAGUUCACUUUUUCAGCUAUGCAUCAAAAAUCUAAACCUGUUGGCCCUAUCUAGAAAUGACAGAAUUGGCUUUUUUGUUUUGUUUUCUAGAGGCAGCCAUCUGUCUAUCUCAAGCUUAUGCAGAGUUCCCACAGGCAAAGUAUUUUUAAGAAUAUCAAUUAUAAUUGUAUCAACUGUUUUGUAAUUAUUGCCUUGUAGCUCUUCUCUGCUGUAUCAACAUCUCCUUUUUUAGUCUCUUUUUAGAGAAAUCAUGAUCUUGUUCCUGUCACCCAGAGGAAGAAUUUUCAAUGUAUUAUUUGUGGAAAAGCAAGUGUUUGUAAAGCUAUAUUUUCAUGUGGUUCUUCUACCUACUGCUGUCUAAAUAUCUUGUCCAAGUAAAAGGCAUGUGCACAUUUCUUCCUCAGCAAACUCUUUUGUUUUAACAUUGAAAAGCACAUGUUUUAUAUUCACAGUCCCUUUGAAUCUCUUUAACUCAUUCUUG